rnacentral:rRNA from 1 species
CCUACGGGUGGCAGCAGUGGGGAAUAUUGCACAAUGGGGGAAACCCUGAUGCAGCAACGCAGCGUGAGUGAAGAAGUAUUUCGGUAUGUAAAGCUCUAUCAGCAGGGAAGAAGAUAGACGGUACCUGACUAAUAAACACCGGCUAACACUGGUCCAGCAGCGGAGGUAAUACGUAGGGGACAAGCGUUGUCCGGAUUUACGGGGUGUAAAGGGUGCGUAGCCGGCUGUGCAAGUGUGAUGGGAAAGCCCGUGGCUCAACCGCGGAACUGCUUUGGAAACUGUAUAGCUUGAGUACUGGAGAGGCAGGCGGAAUUCCUAGUGUAGCGGUGAAAUGCGUAGAUAUUAGGAGGAACACCAGUGGCGAAGGCGGCCUGCUGGACAGAAACUGACGUUGAGGCUCGAAAGCGUGGGGAGCAAACAGGAUUAGAUACCCCAGUAGUC